CAAUAGCGUAUAUUUAAGUUGUUGCAGUUAAAAAGCUCGUAGUUGGAUUUCGGUUAAGAGCGACCGGUCCGCCGUUUGGUGUGCACUGGUUGGUUUUAACUUCCUGUAGAGGACGUGCUCUGGGUUUAACGACCUGGACUCGGAGUCUACGUGGUUACUUUGAAAAAAUUAGAGUGUUCAAAGCAGGCUUACGCUUGAAUAUUUCAGCAUGGAAUAACACUAUAGGACUCCUGUCCUAUUUCGUUGGUCUCGGGACGGGAGUAAUGAUUAAGAGGAACAGUUGGGGGCAUUCGUAUUUCAUUGUCAGAGGUGAAAUUCUUGGAUUUAUGAAAGACGAACUUCUGCGAAAGCAUUUGCCAAGGAUGUUUUCAUUAA
rnacentral:rRNA from 1 species